rnacentral:rRNA from 1 species
CGUUCCCGGGCCUUGUACACACCGCCCGUCAAGUCACGAAAGUUGGUAACACCCGAAGCCGGUGGCCUAACCCCUUGUGGGAGGGAGCUGCCGAAGGUGGGACUGGCGAUUGGGACU